AACACGUUUUAAAAUAUGAUCAUUACUUAAUCAGUAAACCGAAAGAGGACAUUAGGAUAAAAUGAGACUAAAACUGGUAAAUUAUUUUCUUCUA